rnacentral:misc_RNA from 1 species
UUAAGUUCAGCGGGUAUUCCUACCUGAUCCGAGGUCAACCUUGAGAAGUGGGGUGUUUAACGGCGUGGCCGCGCCGGCUUCCAGAGCGAGGUGAGUUACUACGCAGAGGAGGCUACAGCGAGACCGCCACUAGAUUUCGGGGGCGGCCGGGGGCCCCGGAGGGCCCGGCCGAUCCCCAACGCCAAGCCCGGGGGCUUGAG